rnacentral:rRNA from 1 species
AUUGAACGCUGGCGGCAGGCCUAACACAUGCAAGUCGAGCGGUAGCGCAGAGAGCUUGCUCUCGGGUGACGAGCGGCGGACGGGUGAGUAAUGUCUGGGAAACUGCCUGAUGGAGGGGGAUAACUACUGGAAACGGUAGCUAAUACCGCAUAACGUCGCAAGACCAAAGAGGGGGACCUUCGGGCCUCUUGCCAUCAGAUGUGCCCAGAUGGGAUUAGCUAGUAGGUGGGGUAAAGGCUCACCUAGGCGACGAUCCCUAGCUGGUCUGAGAGGAUGACCAGCCACACUGGAACUGAGACACGGUCCAGACUCCUACGGGAGGCAGCAGUGGGGAAUAUUGCACAAUGGGCGCAAGCCUGAUGCAGCCAUGCCGCGUGUAUGAAGAAGGCCUUCGGGUUGUAAAGUACUUUCAGCGGGGAGGAAGGUGUUGAGGUUAAUAACCUCAGCAAUUGACGUUACCCGCAGAAGAAGCACCGGCUAACUCCGUGCCAGCCGCCGCCGUAA